rnacentral:rRNA from 1 species
UUAGCCUACGGGGGGCAGCAGUGAGGAAUAUUGGUCAAUGGGCUUACGCCUGAACCAGCCAAGUCGCGUGAGGGAAGACUGCCCUAUGGGUUGUAAACCUCUUUUGUCAGGGAGCAACGCCGGCUACGUGUAGCCGGACUGAGAGUACCUGAAGAAAAAGCAUCGGCUAACUCCGUGCCAGCAGCCGCGGUAAUACGUAGGUGGCAAGCGUUGUCCGGAUUUACUGGGUGUAAAGGGCGUGUAGCCGGGCUGACAAGUCAGAUGUGAAAUCCGGGGGCUCAACCCCCGAACUGCAUUUGAAACUG